UACAGAGGUGGCAAGCGUUGUUCGGAUUUAUUGGGCGUAAAGGGUCCGUAGGCGGCCAAGCAAGUCGGAUGUGAAAUCCCACAGCUCAACUGUGGAACUGCAUUCGAAACUGCUAGGCUAGAGUAUGGAAGGGGUGAAGGGAAUUCCCGGUGUAAGGGUGAAAUCUGCAGAGAUCGGGAGGAAUACCUGUCGCGAAGGCGCUUCACUGGUCCACUACUGACGCUCAGGGACGAAAGCUAGGGUAGCAAACGGG
rnacentral:rRNA from 1 species